rnacentral:lncRNA from 1 species
GGUGUUUGGCUGCCAUGACCUGUGUGUGUACGCAUGUGUGACUAGCGUCUGGCUCGUAGAAGCCAGAGAUGCUACCCAACAUCCUGCUGUGCUCAAGACACCCCCCCACAAUGAAGACUUUUCCAGACUGCGGUAGCAGCCGACAGUGCUGAGACCCAGGAAGUCGGGUGGAGACAAAAGUGGCUGAGCAGCCGGUGACUACAUUUCCUAGCAUCCCUUGGGGCUAGAUGUGGCCAUGUGACUGGUUCUCACCAAUGGAGUGGGGACAGGCGUGCUGUGCCCAUGCCCAGGUGCAAGGCUCUUAGUAAGUAGAUGGGCCUCUUCCCCGCCCCGCCCCACACCCCCCUCACCCCCCAGGCUGGAUGAAGAGAACAGCAAGGUUAUUUGGUCCGGUGUUUUGUUUAUUCGUCAUAGACAUUUGUUUCUACAGAACAACUCAGAGGAUACACAGAGGCACACGGCUGUAAUUGCCGCCACAAUCUGCUGCUGAGGAGACAUGCGACCCGAGGAUAAGGGGCUGGGAGCUGGAUGGGGUGUGUUGGGUCCCGGGAUAACUGGAGGCCCCUGUGAUGAACCACAUAGGGAUCCUAUCAGUCACGAUCUGACCCCCGGGCCUGAUGGUGACAGUGGAGCCACGCGGGGACCUAAAUCGCCAUGUGAGGAGAGCUGUCUGCCAGUCAGAGAUACUCAGCUCAGAAUUUCAUGAGAAAAGGUGCGUUUGGGGAUCUCUCCUUCUUAGCAAUGUAGUCUACCCUGGCGACUCUCGUCACCAAGUCUUGUCAAUGAUUCCUGAACGAUAAGAAUAGCUAACGUUUAUUGAACAUACGCUGUGAGCCAGGCACUAAGCUCUUUGGGUGUAAGGUCUCAUUUUUACCUUCAUACCAACUCUUCAAAAUAGGUACUAUUAUUAUUCUUGUUUUACAGAUAAAGAAGCAAAUGUUCAAGGAGGCUAGCAGGCCAGGUGAGUGCCACAUGGAAGUUUCAUGCCAGAUUUCAGCCUCCACCACUUAGAGCAAGUUCCUUUGUCUGUUGUUAUAACCUCGCCAUUGGUGACACUUGGGAGUCAUAGUAACAGUUUCCCCUUCAGUCCCGUUGCCUCCAGUGUAGACACUGCAGAUAGAAUGACUUUUUAAAAAUCAAAUCUGAACCGGGGCGCCUGGGUGGCUCAGUCGGUUAAGCAUCCAACUCUUGACUUCAGCUCAGGUCAGGAUCUCGGGGUUUGUGAGUUCGAGCCCUGCACCGGGCUCUAUGCUGACAGUGCAGGGCCUGCUUGGGAUUCCUUUUCUCCCUCUCUUUCUGUUCCUGCCCCACUUGUGCUCUCUCUCUCUCUUUCUCUCUCAAAAUAAAUAAAUACAUUAAAAAAUUUUUUUAAGUAAAAAGAAUAAGACAAUUCUGCCCACCUUCCUUCAGUGACUCCCUACAUUGUUUCAGGAUAAAGUGCACACUCCUGGCCAGGGCAUGUGGGUUCCUCCGUGGUCUAUCCCAGAUUCUCUGCUACCUUCAUGGUCUCUUUCUCCUUCUUCCUUUGGCCAUGUAUCCCGGACUUCAGCCUCACUGCAAGAGAAAAGGAAUAUAAUUUUUUUUAAGUUUAUUUAUUUAUUUAUUAUUUUUUUAAUGUUUUUUUUUUUUUAUUUUUGGGAGAGAGAGAAUGAGUGGGAAAGGGCAGAGAGAGGGGGACACAGAAUCCGAAGCAGGCUCCAGGCUCUGAGCAUAGAGCCCUAUGCAGGGCUCGAACUAUGAACCAUGAGAUCAUGACCUGAGCUGAAGUCGGACGCUUAACUGACUGAGCCACCCAGGUGCUCCAGUUUAUUUAUUUAUUUUGAGAGAGAGAGAGAGUGUGUGUGGGAGGAGCAGAGAGAGGAGGAGAGACAGAAUCCCAAGCAGGCUCUGCACUGUCAGCAUGGAGCCCGACACGGGGCUCGAACUCAUGCAUCAUGAGUUCAUGACCUGAGCCGAAACCAAAGGGUCAGACGCUUAACUGACUGAGCCACCCAGGCGCCCCGAAAGGAAUAUUCUUUUUCCAUAAUUAUUCUUGCCGUGCAGAGGGAAUCACAGUUAAAGUAACAAGCUUCCCCUGUAUGUUUCCAAGAGUUCAAGCAAGGAUUGUUUGAGCAUCUCCUGGGAACACCAUUGAAAGGAUUCUUACGUUGGGUGGGAGGCUCAUUCCAAUGAGACACUGCAGCAGUUUUUCAACACACAGCUAAUUGCAUAAUGUAAGGUGAACCCAGGUUUUCAUCUUUGUUCAGCUCUCAGAUUCUAUUUGUUCCAUUAAAAACCAUAUUGGCUUUGGAGACUCAUUUGGCAAUAUCACACUACAGCAACUUUACUCCUAAUUAUACUCCCCAGAGAACUCUCAUGUGCAAAGGAGAAAUGCAGCAUUUGUAAGAGCGCAAAACUGCUAAGCCAAGUGUACGUCCACAGGAGAAUGGACGAAAUGAACUCCUACAAAGAGCGUAAACGAACUAUAAAUAAGUGGAUUCGAGCGGCCUGUGCUACGUAUAAAUGAAUCUCAGAAACAGUCUUAAGCAUCAAAGCCGUCUCAAAAAGGUAGAUAUCGGAUGAUGUCACAAAUAAUGUCACAUAUUGUGCCAGUCAGGGUCCCAAUAGGAAACGAAAGGCGAACUUGGAAUUCUGGAAAUAAGGAAAGGAAGGCACCUUUUCCAGGGGUGGUAGGUGUGGCGGACUGUUUCAUGGCCACAGAUUCCCACAUCGCUCCUUCCGUCCCGCGGUGGAAUCUGUUUUUCCAUCCCCAUUCAUCUGGGCUGGUUUUGUGACUUGUCUUGAUGAGAGACUGUGACAAAAGUGACUUCAGGUAGGUUACACCGGGCCUGAAGUUUUCUCCCUUCACACCUUUUUAAAAAAUGUUUUAUUUAUUUUUUGAGAGAGAGAGAGAAAGCA